AACGAACGCUGGCGGCAUGCCUAACACAUGCAAGUCGAACGAGACCUUCGGGUCUAGUGGCGCACGGGUGCGUAACGCGUGGGAACCUGCCCUUAGGUUUGGAAUAACUCCCCGAAAGGGGUGCUAAUACCGGAUAAUGUCUUCGGACCAAAGAUUUAUCGCCUUUGGAUGGGCCCGCGUUGGAUUGGCUAGUUGGUAGGGUAAAAGCCUACCAAGGCGACGAUCCAUAGCUGGUCUGAGAGGAUGAUCAGCCACACUGGGACUGAGACACGGCCCAGACUCCUACGGGAGGCAGCAGUGGGGAAUAUUGGACAAUGGGCGAAAGCCUGAUCCAGCAAUGCCGCGUGAGUGAUGAAGGCCUUAGGGUUGUAAAGCUCUUUUACCCGGGAUGAUAAUGACAGUACCGGGAGAAUAAGCUCCGGCUAACUCCGUG
rnacentral:rRNA from 1 species